UACGGAGGGUGCAAGCGUUGUCCGGAAUCACUGGGCGUAAAGGGCGCGUAGGCGGCCUGGUAAGUAGGGGGUGAAAUCCUGCGGCUUAACCGCAGGGCUGCCUUCUAAACUGUCAGGCUUGAGCACGGUAGAGGCAGAUGGAAUUCCCGGUGUAGCGGUGGAAUGCGUAGAGAUCGGGAAGAACACCUGUGGCGAAGGCGGCCCCCUGGGCCGGCCCUGACACUGAGACGCGAAGGCGUGGGGAGCGAACGGG
rnacentral:rRNA from 1 species